rnacentral:rRNA from 1 species
AAUGAACGCUGGCGGCGUGGAUUAGGCAUGCAAGUCGAACGCGAAAGUUCCCUUCGGGGAGCGAGUAGAGUGGCGAAAGGGUGAGUAAUGCUUGGAUGACCUGCCCUCGAGACGGGGACAACAGUUCGAAAGGACUGCUAAUACCCGAUAGUCCGGUUUAGAUGCGUCUAGAUCGGUAAAUGGUGCUUCCGCUCGAGGAGGGGUUCAAGUCCUAUCAGCUUGUUGGUGAGGUAACGGCUCACCAAGGCGAUGACGGGUAGCCGGACUGAGAGGUUGGCCGGCCACAUGGGAACUGAGACACUGUCCUGACUCCGUACGGGAGGCUGCAGUCGAGAAUCUUCUGCAAUGGGACGAAAGCCUGACAGAGCGACGCCGCGUGGAGGAUGAA